GCUGGGUGCAGUGGUGCACGCCUGUAAUCCCAGCAGCUCAGGAGGCUGAGGCAGGAGGAUUAAAAAUUUGAGGCCAGCCUCAGCAACUUAGCAAGACCCUGUCUCUA
rnacentral:sRNA from 1 species